rnacentral:lncRNA from 1 species
CAAGAAUCAAAUAAUAAAUAAAUAAAUAAAUAAAUAAUGGAACAUGGGAGCUUUAGGUUAUGAGCCCACCACGCUUCCACAACCCGCUCUGAUACUAAUGUUGGAUUAUUAGGGAUGAGAUGGAACCCUGUCCAAUGAUUACUGGCAGCGUCAUGAGACUUGGGAUCGCAGAGAUCAGGUCCUUUUUCAGAGCAAUGAGAAC